UUAAGCGACUAAGCGUACACGGUGGAUGCCCUGGCAGUCAGAGGCGAUGAAGGACGUGCUAAUCUGCGAAAAGCGUCGGUAAGGUGAUAUGAACCGUUACAGCCGGCGAUGUCCGAAUGGGGAAACCCAGUGCAAUUCGUUGCACUAUCGUUAACUGAAUACAUAGGUUAACGAGGCGAACCGGGGGAACUGAAACAUCUAAGUACCCCGAGGAAAAGAAAUCAACCGAGAUUCCCCCAGUAGCGGCGAGCGAACGGGGAGCAGCCCAGAGUCUGAAUCAGCUUGUGUGUUAGUGGAACGGUCUGGAAAGUCCGACGGUACAGGGUGAUAGUCCCGUACACCAAAAUGCACAGGCUGUGAACUCGAAGAGUAGGGCGGGACACGUGGUAUCCUGUCUGAAUAUGGGGGGACCAUCCUCCAAGGCUAAAUACUCCUGACUGACCGAUAGUGAACCAGUACCGUGAGGGAAAGGCGAAAAGAACCCCGGCGAGGGGAGUGAAAAAGAACCUGAAACCGUGUACGUACAAGCAGUGGGAGCACCUUCGGGUGUGACUGCGUACCUUUUGUAUAAUGGGUCAGCGACUUAUAUUCUGUAGCAAGGUUAACCGUAUAGGGGAGCCGCAGGGAAACCGAGUCUUAACUGGGCGUUAAGUUGCAGGGUAUAGACCCGAAACCCGGUGAUCUAGCCAUGGGCAGGUUGAAGGUUGGGUAACACUAACUGGAGGACCGAACCGACUAAUGUUGAAAAAUUAGCGGAUGACUUGUGGCUGGGGGUGAAAGGCCAAUCAAACCGGGAGAUAGCUGGUUCUCCCCGAAAGCUAUUUAGGUAGCGCCUCGUGAAUUCAUCUUCGGGGGUAGAGCACUGUUUCGGCUAGGGGGUCAUCCCGACUUACCAACCCGAUGCAAACUACGAAUACCGAAGAAUGUUAUCACGGGAGACACACGGCGGGUGCUAACGUCCGUCGUGAAGAGGGAAACAACCCAGACCGCCAGCUAAGGUCCCAAAGUCAUGGUUAAGUGGGAAACGAUGUGGGAAGGCACAGACAGCCAGGAUGUUGGCUUAGAAGCAGCCAUCAUUUAAAGAAAGCGUAAUAGCUCACUGGUCGAGUCGGCCUGCGCGGAAGAUGUAACGGGGCUAAACCAUGCACCGAAGCUGCGGCAGCGACACUAUGUGUUGUUGGGUAGGGGAGCGUUCUGUAAGCCUGCGAAGGUGACCUGUGAGGGUUGCUGGAGGUAUCAGAAGUGCGAAUGCUGACAUAAGUAACGAUAAAGCGGGUGAAAAGCCCGCUCGCCGGAAGACCAAGGGUUCCUGUCCAACGUUAAUCGGGGCAGGGUGAGUCGACCCCUAAGGCGAGGCCGAAAGGCGUAGUCGAUGGGAAACAGGUUAAUAUUCCUGUACUUGGUGUUACUGCGAAGGGGGGACGGAGAAGGCUAUGUUAGCCGGGCGACGGUUGUCCCGGUUUAAGCAUGUAGGCUGAUUAUCCAGGCAAAUCCGGAUAAUCAAGGCUGAGGUGUGAUGACGAGGCACUACGGUGCUGAAGUAACAAAUGCCCUGCUUCCAGGAAAAGCCUCUAAGCAUCAGGUAACAUCAAAUCGUACCCCAAACCGACACAGGUGGUCAGGUAGAGAAUACCAAGGCGCUUGAGAGAACUCGGGUGAAGGAACUAGGCAAAAUGGUGCCGUAACUUCGGGAGAAGGCACGCUGGUGUGUAGGUGAAGUCCCUGCGGAUGGAGCUGAGACCAGUCGAAGAUACCAGCUGGCUGCAACUGUUUAUUAAAAACACAGCACUGUGCAAACACGAAAGUGGACGUAUACGGUGUGACGCCUGCCCGGUGCCGGAAGGUUAAUUGAUGGGGUUAUCCGUAAGGAGAAGCUCUUGAUCGAAGCCCCGGUAAACGGCGGCCGUAACUAUAACGGUCCUAAGGUAGCGAAAUUCCUUGUCGGGUAAGUUCCGACCUGCACGAAUGGCGUAAUGAUGGCCAGGCUGUCUCCACCCGAGACUCAGUGAAAUUGAACUCGCUGUGAAGAUGCAGUGUACCCGCGGCAAGACGGAAAGACCCCGUGAACCUUUACUAUAGCUUGACACUGAACAUUGAGCCUUGAUGUGUAGGAUAGGUGGGAGGCUUUGAAGCGUGGACGCCAGUCUGCGUGGAGCCAACCUUGAAAUACCACCCUUUAAUGUUUGAUGUUCUAACGUUGGCCCCUUACCGGGGUUGCGGACAGUGUCUGGUGGGUAGUUUGACUGGGGCGGUCUCCUCCCAAAGCGUAACGGAGGAGCACGAAGGUUAGCUAAUCCUGGUCGGACAUCAGGAGGUUAGUGCAAUGGCAUAAGCUAGCUUGACUGCGAGCGUGACGGCGCGAGCAGGUGCGAAAGCAGGUCAUAGUGAUCCGGUGGUUCUGAAUGGAAGGGCCAUCGCUCAACGGAUAAAAGGUACUCCGGGGAUAACAGGCUGAUACCGCCCAAGAGUUCAUAUCGACGGCGGUGUUUGGCACCUCGAUGUCGGCUCAUCACAUCCUGGGGCUGAAGUAGGUCCCAAGGGUAUGGCUGUUCGCCAUUUAAAGUGGUACGCGAGCUGGGUUUAGAACGUCGUGAGACAGUUCGGUCCCUAUCUGCCGUGGGCGCUGGAGAAUUGAGGGGGGCUGCUCCUAGUACGAGAGGACCGGAGUGGACGCAUCACUGGUGUUCGGGUUGUCAUGCCAAUGGCACUGCCCGGUAGCUAAAUGCGGAAGAGAUAAGUGCUGAAAGCAUCUAAGCACGAAACUUGCCCCGAGAUGAGUUCUCCCUGAGACUUUAAGUCUCCUGAAGGAACGUUAAAGACGAUGACGUUGAUAGGCCGGGUGUGUAAGCGCAGCGAUGCGUUGAGCUAACCGGUACUAAUGAACCGUGAGGCUUAACCU
rnacentral:rRNA from 1 species